rnacentral:lncRNA from 1 species
GCAGUAUUAUGAAAUAGGAAAUGAAAGUCCACAGGAACUCAUGGUCCUGGGUUUCUUGUAAACCCUCUGCCUGAUGAGCUGUGCAGGACAGAUGGCUGCGGUGAGCCACCUGGGAACCAGUACUCCCCAACAGUCUGCAGACAGCUUUCCCCAAGAGAGAGCAGCAGGGCUGGUGGGAGGACAGCACAAUUGCACAAAGCGAUGAGCAGGGAUGGAGGUUUGGUAGAACAAACUCAUUUUGCUUACAUGUCAG